rnacentral:rRNA from 1 species
AAAGGUAGCAUAAUCAUUUGCCUUUUAAUUGAAGGCUAGAAUGAAUGGUCAAAUGAAAUAAAUUCUUUCUUUAAUUUUAUAUUAUUAAUUUAAUUUAUUAGUGAAAAAGCUAGUAUUUAAAUAAAAGACAAGAAGACCCUAGGAGUUUUAAAUUUUAAUUGGGGCAAUAGUAGAUUUAAACUUCUAAUUUUUUAUUUUAUAAACAUAAAUAUUUAUAAGUAAACUACCCUAGGGAUAACAGGAUAAUUUUAAAUUAGAGUACGUAUUAAAUUUAAAGCUUAUCACCUCGAUGUUGGAUUAAGGUAACAUAUAGGCGCAGUAGUUUAUAUAGUUUGUCUGUUCGACAAUUAAAACCUUACAU